rnacentral:rRNA from 1 species
UACGUAGGGUGCGAGCGUUGUCCGGAAUUAUUGGGCGUAAAGAGCUCGUAGGCGGUCUGUCGCGUCGGCUGUGAAAUCCCGAGGCUCAACCUCGGGUCUGCAGUCGAUACGGGCAAACUGGAGUGUUGCAGGGGAGACUGGAAUUCCUGGUGUAGCGGUGAAAUGCGCAGAUAUCAGGAGGAACACCGGUGGCGAAGGCGGGUCUCUGGGCAACAACUGACGCUGAGGUGCGAAAGCGUGGGGAGCAAACAGG